rnacentral:lncRNA from 1 species
UUUUUUUUUGCUUUCAUUCGUUCAGACACAUGGACAAACCCCAAGCGUGGCCCGGAAGCGAAGGGCCUGAUAGACUCGGGAUGGGUGAACGUGACGGCGACUCUAACGACACAUCACGGACACGACAUGGCUGAGCAUUAUCCACACACGAGCUUAAUUUUUGCUUCCAUUCGUUCAGACACAUGGACAAACCACUAGCAUUUUUAAAAAGUAAAUAAAAGAAGAUAAAUAAAAAGAAAGAAAGAAAAAGACAGGCACAUGCAGCACCGCGAAAUCAUCAUGAUGCAUGUCAUGUUAACCAAGCCGCACGAAUAUGUCUACAUGCUUCCCGCGUAUGGGCGGGCUAGGGGUGUCACGUGCACUUGCCGAGCGGGCCACCGCAGAGGCAGCUGUUGCCGACGAACGACUCGGCGCCGAGGCGGUCGAACGGCGGGCCGGCGGGGAUGGUGCCGCACAGCCGGUUGUGGCUGAGGUCCAGGUGGCCCACGUACGCCGCCGAGGCCAGCGACCGCGGCACGCCGCCCGUGAGCCGGUUCCGCGAUAGGUCCAGCAGCAUGAAGUAGGAGCGCGGCGUGAACGCGUCGGGGACGCCGCCGCCCAGCGCGUUCCGGCUGAGGUUGAGCAUCCCGAGCCCGCCGCUCCGAAGCAGGCUCGCCGGGACGCCGCCCGACAGCCGGUUCCCGCCGAGGUACAGCGUCGUGAGCACGCCGCUAUUCCCGGGGCCGGCACCCAGACCCUCGGGGAUCGCGCCCGUCAGCUGGUUCUCGGAGAGGUCGAGGUCGGCGAGCCGGGGCAGCGACGCCACCGACGCCGGGAUGGGGCCCGACAGCCGGUUGCGCGCCAGCAGCGCGCGGCUGAGCAUCCGGAGCCGGCCGAGGUCCGGCGGCACGCGCCCGCUGAGCCGGUUGCCGGCGAGGUCGAGGUGCUUGAGCUCGGUGAGCGACGUGAGCGACGCCGGGAUGCCGCCGGACAGCUGGUUGCCGGCGAGGUUGAGCACGGCGAGGCGCGACUGCCCGCCGCCCAGCGGCGGGACGGCGCCCGUGAGGCGGUUCCCCGGGAGCUCCAGGACGCGGAGGUACGGGAGCGACGUGGCGACGCAGGCCGGGAUGGGCCCCGAGAUCCGCUUCCAGUCCGCCAGCACCAGCGUCGAGAGGCGGUCCAGGCGGCACACAGCGUCGGAGACGUACCCGGACAUGACCCCCGACGCGGGCCGCCCCGCGGGCGCCAUCACCGCGUCGUCGGCCUCCCCGCGGAGGGACAGGUCCGCGACGCGCCCCGUGGUCGGGUCGCAGGCCACGCCGUACCACCCGGCGCAGCAGUCCGUGCCCGCCGCCCACGUCGAGAACACGCCCAGCUGCCGCUCCUCCUCCGACAGCGCCGCGCGGAUCGAAAGCAGCGCGUCGCGGUCCGCCGCCGAGCACUCCGACGCGGCCAGCUGCGUCAGCGAGGCCAGGGCGGCAACAACCACGAGCGCCACGGCGGUGGCUGCAGAUGCCAUUGCAGGCUUUGCUUUUUUGCUUGGGCGGGACGCGGGGAGUGGACGACAGUGCUCGGUGAGUGGUGACGAGCUUCUGAAAGAGAUUAUAGUAGAGAGGGUGGCAGUGGCACUGGUGGGCUGGUGGCAGUGUGGGUGUGGCAUGCAUUGACGGUUUUGUCCUCGCGUCCGCUAGCAUUCUGAGCUAGAAUGGGGCACGUGCAUGCAGCUGCAGCUGCCCGGCGGCGAGGCGACUUUACCUCGUUGCCAAAGCUGUGUCUCUGCGACUGCGAGGUGCGUCACUGUGCUGGUCGCGGGAGGGAGUACCGAGGAAUGAUGGCACGAUCUGCCCGCACCAAACUAGAUUGAAUGCUGCAGCCGUCUGGAUCUCGACCGGGCAGAGGAUCCGUCGCCGGAGCUGAUCAUGAUCAUGAUGCUGGCGUCCACGCCGUAGCCCCCCGGCCCGGCCGAUCAAACCCGAUAUCGUGUGUGAUGGCGACGACGCGGCGAUGGUGGCGCCCCAUGCAGGGCCAGGACCGCGCCGGCGUCGACCGUGCGUCAGGAGACCCAGGAGUCCAGGACCAUCGUUGCCCGUCGGCGCACCGUCCCGGUCACGCCCGACGGUGCUCUUACAAGAUCUUGUAGACUCGUGCGUGGCUUGUCUGUCAGCGAUGUGCCGUUUAUAUGCUAAAAUUCUUCUAACUUAAUUACGAUGAUGUAUGUUUUUUUACAUGUUCGGUAAAAAAGGCGACCUUUUUAAAUUAGAUCUUCAAGCACGAUUAAAAAACAACAUCUUUAGUUACAUCUUUCGUUCGUAGACCGUCGGUUGGGCAGACAGGCAGCGCAUGUGGCGUGGGUGUGGCCUUCUCGUUGCUCUGCUGCGUGCUCGUGAGGAUGGCCAGCCGGCUGGCCUGGUGCGGGGUGGGCUGCACACGUAACCGCGCACAUGGAUAUGGAUGGGUGGGUGGGCUCACCGGCGGUGCACGUUCGUCUGCAUGCUCUAAUUUGAUGUGAACGAGUGGCCACGUGGCAGAACCAGUGCGGCGGCGGACUGGGUCAGAAGAGUCGGGACCGGACCUGGGGGCUGGGGCCCAGGGGCAAAGCGUGCCGGCGGCACGGUAGGCCUCUAGCGCUCACGUCACGUGAUCCCCGGGCCCGGAGUUAAGGGUCGGUCGGUCGAUCGGCGCCCAAACUUGGGUUGCAAGGGAACGGGGAGUCCCAGCAGGAGUACGUGCUUGGCUGCUUGCUACUGCGACUAUAUACAUGAACGAGCAGUUCUUUUUUUUCUUUCUUUUACUGUAAAACGCAGAUAUGUCCGGCAGCCAUGCAUGCAGGAGGGAGGGAGAGAGGGGGACCGGAGGACCAUCCUUUGCUGCUAAAGCUGAAAGACGACGAGCUGCCUGCAUGCAGCAUGGAUCCCGCCAUUUGCUCGUAGCUUCUUUACCUCCUUCCUUUCUCUCCGCGAUUCUUUAAUCUUUAGUGGUGACGAAGGGGCUUGUUUUAAUCUUUAGUUACGAUGUCAGAUCAUACUAAGAUCUUGUUUCCACAUCAAACUACUCAAAUACAUACAUACUAGAGUGAGUACAUAAACAUCUACUAGUUGAGUGCCCGUGCGUUGCUACGGAAAUCAUAUAAAUCUGUGUUUUCUACUAUGCAACGCGAGGGAUAGAUAUUAUUAGAAGUCAUUUUUCUAUCGGACCUAGUGGAGUACCCGUGGGUUGCUACGAAGACCAUACAAAUCUAUGGGUUGCUAUCGAACCUAGUGGAGUACCUUUUGUGUUUUUAGACCGAUUUUUAUUUGAUGAUCUUGUAUGCACUUGAAUGGCAUAAUAUUUGCAUCUUCGAUGUUGAGAUCAUCUACAUGAGAAUUAAUGUGUAUGUAUAAUGUGUUUUAUGGUUAAGAAAAUAAAGAAGAAAAUGCAUGAAAACAAACUUUAAGCAAAGCAAACAAAAGGUUAAGAAAAUUAAUGUAUUUCAUAUUAUUUUAAAUAGCGGGGAUUUUCAACAUGAAAUACAUAUCCAUUACUAAUUUCACUAUUUAUAUCAGUUGGACAUGAUUGGACAUGAUGCUUGUCAAUCUCAAUUUCUGUUAUGUACAUAACUAAAGCUACUUCCUGCCACAAAUCUCAAUACGUAGUGUGCUGGUUCUUCAAGCUUUUUGCAAGGAUCACAAAUUCUAAUAGGUGAAUCACCUUGUCCACGUAAUAUCAUCCUUUGCUGGGUACAACUGCUGUAGAACAAGCCUCCACAUCUUUGGCAAUGAUACUACAUAUUAAAUCAAAUACACAAAAGUUAACACAAAUCUUGUUGAGAUCGUAAUGUUAAUGAAGUUGACCUUUCAAUUGAAUGAAAAAUUCAGAAGAGCCAAAUUAAGCUUCGAAUUAAUAAAACAACAAAAGGAGGGGUGCACAUCUAUUCAGAAUACCAUCACUGCAACAGGAAAAAACAAGAGAAAUGAACAUAACAACCCUGACACUGGGAUGCACCCACCACGUAGGUGGUGCCUCAUAUGAACGGCUUCGGUGGCAACCCAAUCUUUUUCAACAUAGCCGACUAUAUGGUAGAGUAGAACGAUCAAGGUUCUCUCAAUGAAGCAUAAAGUUUAAAAUGAGACAGCAUCAUGUGUGAAUUCCACAACAAAAGAUCAUAUUGUUACAAGGAUAGAUCAAGUGAUAAAAAAUGUGGUUACCAGGAUAGGUUCCUCUAGUUGUAUAGGCAAAAAGGAAAACCGAUACAGGAGGCAAAAAUGUUUAAAGUCAUUUCAAGUGCCAAUGAAAUGAGAACAGUCGAACAAUGUGCCAAGAGGCAGCAUCAACCGACGGGACUGAUACUAAUAAGACCAUCCACACUGCACAUGCCACAAAGAUUAAUAAGAGAUUACAUAAGAACCAAGCAGUGAACCAGACACCCGUUGCUGACCUUGUUAAUCAACCCAUCAUCGACGAAGGCGUUGUUGAUCUUCUUGAACAGCUUGUACAAUGCCUCGACCUCGCUCACGCUGACUGCAAGAAUAACAAGAAGAGGCAAUGCAACCAGACAGGAAAAUGAUGACCAACACUGAGUACACAAAGUAAAGGAACACCUCUAGCUAUCAAAAUUUUAAAGCAACGUGAAGCCUUCAAAGAAACAGGACAACACUCAAGCUUUUUUAUAACUAAGGGAAUUGUUUAUCGUGAAUUCAUUUUUUUCUAAAAUACAAGACAAUCAGAUGAAAUAAGCAAAGCACGUGAUAAGAAAAUUCAAAGCACAUGUAUAGUGUCUUGGUUGAAAAUUCAAAGCACAUACAAAGACAUCAAACAGAUACACAGUGUUGGAAAACCUUUUGUAAAUAAAAUGUGCUGAAGAUAAACAUUAAAAUAAUUCACACCGGAUACUACUUGAAUCACACGCAUAAGGCAAACAUGGCUAAAAUUAUAGCAUCAAGCCAUCCAUAGUCAGCUACAUAUUUUACCUGGAUUUUCAUGAGUUGCACGAUUAUCUUAUGAAACACCAGCAUCGUCUCAUAGUAUUUAUUAUACAGAAAAUCGAGCAGGAAGUCGCUAGAUUUUCAUGAUGUCGAACAAACAUUAUAAUCAAGAAAAUCUUAUUGAUGUCGAUCAAAAUACUGAACCAAGUAGUUACAGAGAGUUUGUUCACAUCUGGAGACUCAAACUCUCUUAACAAUUAGCUAGCUCAGUCUCCAGCUAAUAGGAUAUGUUGCCUUGUUGCAAAUAUGAAUUAAUAAUAAAUCAUACCUCACCGUGGUGAGUUACCAGCAAUCAUUCAGGACGCCCAUCUAGAUCACACGCUCAAGUACUCCCCCAACAAUCACCAGUAAACCGUCAGCUAAUCAACUACUGAAUGAUCCCUAGAACAAUCACCAAUAAAAUAAAGUUCAGGAUCAUUUCCAAUAACAUUUGAAACUGCAUGGGUCCUCCACAUGUAUCUAGAAAAAGGGAUAGGCUUAAACAAUUAAACUGCAUGAGUUCAUAUCUGUCAUAGGCCAAGAAAUACUGACAAUUAAACUGUAUAAAUCUUACUGUCAAGACAAAACAAUUAAACAAACAUUAUAAUUUUGUGCAUAGCCUGAAACUGCCUUUUAAUUGUGCUGAGGAGGACAAGUAGUCACCAUGAUGUUUUCUUAGUUACAACCCAAGUGCAGAACGUAGCUACGGCUGCACUAAUUUAUCGGAAAAUCGAAGUAGCAGGUCCAGGAUGCAUAGGAAAAUAAUGGCGACUUCAAUGACUGCAUCUAAGCCCAUCAAUUUCUCUGCCAUUUUAUUGAGAGUUUCACGCCCAAGCACCUGUCAAAACAUGAGCUUUAGAGCAGGUGUAUCUUCCAAAUAUCAACAGAUCAAGUGGUAUAUAUAUUAUAGAGGGAGUUUUAAGUGCCAUGAGUGACAAAAAAUAGGUGAAUCGCCACUAACAAAACGGUCUGAUCUGUUCAACAUAUGCGAAAACAUUAAUUUCUUAUAUUUCAUGGACGAGAGAUAAUAUAAUCCAUGAUAAGGACAGAGGGAAGGAACUCAAACCUCCAAAUAGUAGUUUAACUUAACAUGGAGGUUCUGCUCUGCAUGUCGGACACAAUAAUGUAGCAUAUCCAGUACAGCCAUAUCAGUUUGGUCAUCAUUGGAUCCUAUGUAGAACAUAUCAGAUACUACACUCGAAAUGUUCCAUAUUAUACCAUGAUAAAAAAGGUACUGGUGCCAUACCUAGUAUAUCAUAAAUUUGCUGGACAGGAAUAUCUAGUAGCUCUGCUAACUCAGCUUGAACGUGAACACGUUGCUGUAUCGACAGUCUAUCACCAUGUGUGACAACAACAACAGGUUUAUCAUCUACGAUAAAUAUUGUUAUAGUCACAUGAUGUCUACAACAGCAGACAUAAAUCUAUUAACAGAGACAACAUCAUACAUGCAUGAGGCGAUGACUGAAGCUAACAAUUUAAAUCGACAACAUGUAUAAGAGCCUCUUAUUCUAUAGCAGGUGAGAUCUGAAUUGAAGAGAAUAAGAUAGGAUCGAAACAUAUAUUUCAUUCAUAAAGCAGUAUAUGUGAACAUAAAUCUGUAUUCAGGAAAUUUCAUAUGAUGAUGAUAAAAUCGAUAUAUAAGGUUUGUGUGCAUCUUAGCAAUCCCUACCUCCAAUCGACAAGAACGGAUACAUAAAAGUUUGACGAAGUAUCUCAGUGUAUCCUUUAUUGCUGUCAUCCAUUGACUCGAGGACAGCAACACCAUCAACAACAAAUAUCACGAAAUUGACCUUCCAGAUUUUGUAACGAAGAAAACUGUAUUGCCGCCCCAAUGGUUUCAUGUUCCCUAUCUUAUUGCCUUCAUCAUCAUCCCUGUUUAUAAAUGCUCAGAAAAUUAAUGGCUUUAAGUUAUAUAUUAAGCUGUAAAACUUCAUAAGUUACUUCAUUAGCUUAAGAACAAUAAAGUUUGUGGAAUUGAAACAGAAAAUCGGAAUUCAAGUAUAACGAUACUCUGAAUGACAUGCAAUGAUGACUGGAAUUGUCAUAAAAUUCAAAACAUAUCCAUAUCCAUAUCCUGGCUAAAAAUGUUGUGUCCUGUGAAAGAGAAUGGGAGAAUUUUCAUGGUGGUCCUCAUUAAGGCCUUAAAUGCUUAUAAAGCAUACAGAAGGUAGGUAAGUAAUUCAGGACACCUGUCCUAUUGAUGCUGGAAAUCAAUCAUAUCUGACGAGAGACAACAAAUCCAGACACAAUCUAAAGUUAGUCCUAAGAAUCAGCCUCAUUCUGCAAUCUGUAUACAGCUGGUGACAACUGAGAUUAGAAAUGAACAUACUGAAUGGCAAAAGGUUGAUUACUCGAAUCUGUUGACAGAAAUUUGAGAAUUACUCUCUCAAAAAAUAAUAAACAGUUUGUAUAGGGUCACACAGUGUACAAUGUUUUUCUAGUUUCACGACAGAAAACAAAGAGUUAGUAAGUCAUCCCUUACCACAUUGUUGUCUCCCCAUGGCUUAUUCCUUUUGUCAUCCACUGAUGCAGCAUUUUGAAAUUUUUCUCUAGGUCGUUUGACCAGCCACGUGUAUCGUAAAUACAUACGGCACUUGAAUUCCUUGGAAUUGGAUACUCGCGAAGAAACAUUGUACCAUUUGAUUGUGAAUUGCCUAGCAAAAUCAAUUUAGGUCCAAUUACUAAACAGUAAUAAUGGAUGAAACUAACUUCAGUUGUAUGUCACCACGAAAUAGCAUCCCAAAAAAGGUUAAAGCUUACAUGACACCUGUGCUCGAUCUGGUGCAAAAGGAUCAUCAUCCUUGUCAAAGACCCUAGUAAUUCGGUUUACAAGUGUGCUCUUGACAGAACCUCUAGGGCCCACCAGGAGCAAUGUGGUGACCUCAGGCAAGACAAAAUGUCCAGCCUUUGCGCCUCCGACUCCCUCAAUCCAGUCCCCAGGCUUAUACCUGCUCAAAGGUUGACUUUCUAAUGAAGCAUUUAAUAAAUAAGAACAUAACAGAGUGGACUUUCCUAGGUAUUUAUAGUGCAAGCACCCUUUCGUUUCAGUAUUUAUGUUUGGUUGGUUCGUUGAAGAAGUCUAGUCCCCACUGCCCAUUUAAAGUUUGGUAAGCACAGAUCAUAGCGUAUAAAGUAUAGAAAAUGCAGAGAUGAAAAAACACAUGCUAUCAUAUUUACAUGAUUCAGUCCAUGCCACGAAUCAUGAAAAAACAGCAAAACGAAACACCUUCACCUUGUUGCUCUUCUCGUCCAAGUCGAUGUCGUCGAUGCAGAACUCACCCUUCUCUACCGCGGACCCACGGUGCGCGCAUCAACAACGAAACCGCGACAUCCAUAUCGUCCCAAGAAAGAAAUACCCACCG